AAGAACAAGUCACAACAUGGGCCUUAAGUCCCAUAUAUGCUAAGGCAGCUUUGGGCUCAAUAGCCUCCCUCCGGUCAAUCUAUGGCUCCGGCCCACUUCAUUCCACCCUUUUAUUCGUGCCCGCGAAAGCAUGCCCUCCCUCCUAAGCUUUCCGCGUUCCCCACCGCUCUCUCUCUCUCCUUGCCGCCGACGCCCAUGGUGAAGAUCUCAGUCGACAUCCGCUUUCGCUCCUCCACGCCGGAGAUCCGGCAAGAGAGCGGCACUGGAGGGUCCAGGACAACCGUAUCUCGGGAGCCCGGUCCCCUGCGUCGUCUUUGCCUACCAUUACGUCUUCGACCUGAGCUACGGUAACUCGGUGGUCUACGAUCUGCUCAUCAAGUCAGCAUCCAAGCCGCCGUUGACCUCCUAUUGAUCGAGAAUAUGAUCAUGUCAAACAGCUGCGGCAAAUAAGUUAGUAUUCUUGAUGGGCCAAUGCCCAAUUGAACUGGUGCUUCUUCCUCCCCUCUUCUGCGAGCCCAACAUGACGGAACCCAUGGAGGCCGCCCCUUCAGCCAACCUUCGAUCUCAAUCGGCGGUGAUGAUGUCCACCUCGGUGGCGUCACCCGGUUCGAGAACUCCCCGGGCUUCCUCAAAUUUCGUGACUCGGGCUCAGCGCCAAUUCCGAACCCUAUUCCUCUUCCUAAUUCGGUGAUUCUGAGCAAAGCAUUCGCGUUUCUGUCAUGUGGGUCGUUGGAGGUUCAGCCGUGGGUUGCCUAUUCUUGAUUUCGGGUGGUUGCGGACGGCCUGCCCUUUUCCCGCAGGUAAUGAGGACGAUGGAAGAGAAGCCGAUGGUUCCUCCAACGCGGGAUUCAGUUCUUGGGCGUUUGGCAGUCCUGAUUGCAAUAUCAGGUCAUUAUUGUGCCAUCUAAAUUCAUGUUGACAGCCAUCAGAAAUACUCGCUGAUUGCCUGGAGCUUUUUUAAUUUCAAUUGCCUUCUGAGUAAACGGAACAAGCAGAACGAUGUCUACAAGUGUGGAGAGCCUACUUGGAACAUUUUGAGGUGUCCUUGUUUGGAGAGAGCAGGGCACAUGACUUUCCAAAAUCUGACUUCUCCUAUUUGCUAGGAUAAGUUAGUUAUCCAGCCAACUUCAUUGAGAACUUCACAGCUAAAUCACAUCACUCUUUGCAAUGAUAGUCAACUGUACAAUCUGAGGGGGGGGAGCUCAUCAAAGUAGAUCCUUGAAGAAGGAUCUGCCUGCAGUUGGAUGCCCAUCGGCGUUGUUGGUGUUGCAGCAUCAUGUCAGCUGUCAGUUCACGGUGGACGACGAGAAGCUGCAGGUAGGUAGUAGGGAGUCUCUGGACUCUUGUCUCUCCUGCCGCUGCCGAGAUUGCAUGAAAGACCUCGCACCAAAGUUAAAGCCUAGCCUUCGUGUAGGUCGCCAUGGGAUUCUCUCCACACCGAGCCUGGGCUCUGCUUGGGAGGACUCUGCCUGAUGGUAGCUGUCAUUCUGUCAAUCUAGCUCCAGUGUGACCCUUCAAGAACGUCCAUAGUGGUUUGGUUUUGGUGCAUCGUCGUUACAGUCCACGCCUUGAUCUCCUCUGAUAGGUGCAACAUCAUCGCCAUCCUGAGUCUUGUAUAAGAUGAUACUUGAUGGCCAAGACCUUGGUUGCAAUGAUUGCAUGUAACGGAGUCCAUCUGUGGACUGUUAUGUGUAUAUAAUUUUUAUAUUACUCUUUUUUUUUUUACUCAAUUGAUUGUACAUUCUUGUGUGUUUAGAUUCAAAAGUUUAUAUGAGUAAAAUAUUUGUGUAUCCAUUAUUACAUUACAAACUGGGAAAUACAAAGAGAAUGUUU